ensembl:lncRNA
UGAAAGUGCAUGAUAGCUAUAUUUAGAAGGAAAGUGAGAAAUUCAGUCAAGAAUGUUUUCAUACAUCCAUAAAUAUUUGGCACUGUAUAGAUAAUUUCUUUCAUUUACACAGAAAAUGAGCCUCAAAGCACUUUUUGCAUAUAUUGUUUUUUAAAAUAAGGUGCUCCUGGAUACAACUGGAUUCCAAGAUUAUGGUACCCUUGAAGAGAAAAGACUGGUAAGGAUCUUUAGAGAGAUUGGCAGAGUGCCAUUUGGAUUAGCUGUUGAAAUGCCACAUGUGGUAUUUUCAAGAGGGAAUAACCCAUAUUUGGGGAAUAUACUACUAUUAGACAUUUGUGUGAUUGUCUUAUUAAACCAGCCACACUCUUGUGGAUGGCAGGAGGGUUUCUAUGAGUGGAAUGGACUUUCCCAUUGUCAGUCAUAUGGGGGGAAAGUCUGUGGAACAUGAAGCAGGACAUGAGGAUAUAGGAAUCAGCCUCAGACUUUCUCUCAUUUCUGGGGUCAGGGGUCAGUUUGGCUAGCGUGGAAGGCCAUGUGACGCGGAGGCAUUGGAGUGGAUAUCUAGAGGUGUUGAGGUGUGUAUGAACACAGGAAUGUACAGUGCUCAGAGACCCCUUCAAGAGAGACUCGAUGCCCAGCUGUAAGUAGUAUGGUUUGCUGACAGCCUCCAGCUAUUAACUCCUUCAAGCCCACCUCAGCAAAGACAGUCUUCGAUCUGGAGCUCCCAGUAGACGAGAGAGGCUUUGUCGGAUCUGCAUCUUGGUCUGAUGGCUCUCCUACCCAAUCCCAGUUCCUUCUUUUUCUUCCAGCAGGUCUUAUUCCCCAGUAAACCUUUUGCACCGCCAACUCCAAGCCCACAUCUGCUUUCAAAGGAUCUAACUAGUACGUGCCACAACAGGAAGCAGCCACAGAUAGCUGGGCGUGGUCACUCUAAGCAGCCCGGGAAUGGCUCUGGACCUGCACAGAAGACUGGGUCUCAGGGAACAUCUGGAACAGUCCUAAUGGGGGUUGUUUUCAGCGGAUGUUGGACCUACCACCAGCCUUGGGGGCCUCAAAGAUUCAUCUGA